GUAUUAAUGGUCGAGUGGUCUAGGCGGGAGUUUUUUUUACUCCAGGACUUCAGAUGUCAGUGGUUCGACCCCUGUUGAGGAUA
rnacentral:tRNA from 1 species